CCUUGGGCCAACAACACCUUCUUCAGGACCCUGGGCCUGCUGAGCUGGGCAGGGCUCCUCUCAGCUCUGAGUGAUGCACUGCGGAGGCCUGGCAGAGACAGGCCAGAGGAAGGCUGCCGCGGCUCCCAUGACUUGCCCAAUUCUGGGUGAACCACCUUCCUGGUCUUGUGUAUCUAAUGAAUUAGGUUCAAGUCAGUCAUUAUUAAUCCAGACAGAGUUGACAGCCACCCCGACAUACCGCACGCACACAGAAACUGCAACCAGCAACAAGCCCUGGCCCGUGCACAGAACUCAGAUGACAUCAGCUCCUCGACCGUCCAGGGUCCAUGGGGCCCAUUGUCCAGAGAGGGCAUCGCCUGUCCCACAGGGACUGGCUCAUCGAGACUCUUCCUAGGAAUCUACCACCCAAACCUGACUUGGAACCAAAGGCCAUGCUGGAGGGAAAUGCCCCAGAGUCUCAUCUCACAAAGAUGUGGACGGAAGCUCAGGCCCAGGCAGCCCCAGAGUCUCAUCUCACAAAGAUGUGGACGGAAACCCAGGCCCAGGCAGCUAUUUCUUGAAGCUCCUCAGUGCACUCGGUGAAUUGCACAAUAAGUAGCCGUAGGGGCUGCUUGGACAAAAUGGCUGUGAUGAGAGAAAAAGCAGGAAGCUGGCAGAAGUUGUAGGCACAAAGCUGCUGUCACAGCAAUCCACCCGUAGGAAGUCCCUGGCCGACCUCACAGGGGCUCGCUCCCUGCUGCUGAUCUGCAACGCUAGUUCCGCUUCCGGGCUAUCGGCGCAGCUCAUAAUGACUCUAUCCGCUGAGGCCCUCGGGAGUGGGGCCAGGUCAGCGUCCAUUUUGUAUGACAUGACGUGCCCCCUGUGCCCAUGGGUGUGCCUUCUCUAGGAUUUUGGAACUGAGGGAGGAAGAAAAGAACAGUGAUGGCCAGGCGUGGUGGCUCAGGCCUGUAAUCGCAGCACUUUGGGAGGCUGAGGCCAGGAGAUCGAGAUCAGCCUGGCCAACAUGGCGAAACCCC
rnacentral:lncRNA from 1 species